GGAUGUGAGGGCAAUCUGGCCACAACAUCUAUCACCCGCAUUGAUCACCAGGGCCGAUCUGGCUGGCUAGGCGGUUGUCCCUUCCCCUCUCACUACUCCUCGUGCAUCCCUCCUGAACAGUUGAAGAGGACAACCUUCUCCAAUAGAGGAGGACCAUUCCUUAGUCAAGGGUAUAGAGUAGUUGAGCUCCCCUGCUAGAACCUCCAAACACACUCUCAAAAAUCAACUGACCAUAAAUGUAUGGUAUAUUCCUGGCUCAUUUCUACACAUUUUUUCUUCUGCCUGGAAA
rnacentral:snRNA from 1 species